GUCUAGUUUCCGGGUAGCUGUGGAACACACUUUUGUGAAUUGCAGGUGCAGACUAGUAUAUCUCCCAAAUUUUUGUUAACAGAUGCCGAUUUACUGUUGGGGAUUGGUACUUUGGUUCUGGGUCACUUCGCUUACUGUCUUCGUAGGUUGAAGUUUUUGUUACGAAGACAUGCUUGCGUUGUUUCUUAUUUGUGCAUGAUUUUCUCCAUUGCAGUGCAACAGAGGUGAUGAUCUGGCUUCGCCAGCUGAAGCGAGUGCAGUACGAAGUCGCGGAGCCAAGCCUGGAACGUAUUGACUGAUGACGUACUGCUCGAUUCAGACGUCAACGGAGUGAAGCUGGUGCGAGUGCAAUACGAAGUCACGAAGCCAAGCCUGGAACAUAUUGAGUGAUGAUGUACUGCUCAAUUCAGACGCCAAUGAAAAGCCGGCGUGAGUGCAACAGAGGUGAUUGAAUCGAAAUUUGAAUCAAGUCUUGUUCCAUUCAGUCUAGUAUCUAGUUCCAUGUUAACCAUGGAACAUACAUUUGUGAACUGCAUGUGCAGAAUGUAUUCAUUUUCACAAAUUUUGUUUACUGAUGCUGGGUUACUACAAUUUAUGAAAAAUUACAAUUCUGUAAAGAUCCCAUGGCUUGUGCUUCUCGUCUCUCACCUCCUCUCUGUUGCUUUCUCAGGUGCCUUUAUAUAUGCAGGGGUCCAUGACUCUGUAGAUGGCACCAAUGGCAAGUGUUCUCAGCCGAGAGCUGGGAUCCACAUUUUGGCCCUUUCUUAUGAAAAUUUUGUGCGUACAAGUGAGGCCUCACCUUCCUGGCUAGGAUUAGAGAUCAAGAUUAAAGUUAUUGUUACGGUUCAAGGUGACUCUUGGAUGAGAAAUUAGUAGAGGUGGAGCAAGGUCGAUGUGGCUGAAGGCAGAAGCCACCGACGCCUCCAGCGUGUCGAGGCGCAGCCCGAACACCACGUCCUUGGCCAGCCAGUUGGCUGCCCGGGGCCACGACGCCAUUGCGUGUCAGUCGCAUCUUGCCGAGCUGGGCACCGGUCACCUUGGCCUCCGGGCUCCAACUGCCACCGUCGUCGGACGAGUAGCUCCGGAACGCGGUGAAGCGACGCAAGCUGUACACCAGUAGCAGGCGAUAGGAGGAUGGUGACCGCGGCGGAUCGAUGCCGUCGUCCUCGCCGUGGUAGUCGUCGGCGGUGAGUACCGUGCACGCGUAGUGCCCGAGGCCGUCCUUGCACGCGGUAAGGCCCUAAGGGGAGGCAGUACGUGCACUUCUUGGCCGGUCAUGGUGUUGCAGACGCAAAGCUUGAGGGCCCUGCCGUGCUUGCCGCCGCGCCGGACGUCGACGGCGAGGAGGCCGUUCCUGGAGGCCUCGAUGCGGGAGGAGUCGAACAGGCCGCCGUCAACGAGCGUGCUCAGCAACGGCAGCGGCGACGCCCGGAUGCUGAGGAACCGGCGCGACGCAGAAGCCCUAGGGACGAAGCGCGGCGCGGCUGCGUCCUGCUGGUGGAAUAAGCCGACGGUGAGCGGCGGCAGGAAGUUGCGGCCGGGGCCGGCAGGCCGUCGCGAGGUGCGGCGGAUGAAGCAAUGAUAAAUAACAGUUCAAACUAGAACCAUCUCAAGCCGUGGCGGAUCCAGAAACGGCCUCCACCCCGGGCUAACUAAUAUAAGGCAACUAGCCAUAUAUUAUUAGAUAUAACAUAUUUUUCAAAGAGCACAGAUAAUUAUAUAAUUCUCUAGAUUCCAAGUAUUCAACCAAUAGACUCAAACAAUACAUAGAACAUUGAAGGUAGAAAAGUACCAAAUUAAGAGUCUUCCAUGAUAAAAAAAGAACCAUACAUGUCUUCAUGAAUUAACACCACUUCCACUUGUUCCGACGUCCUCAAUUCUACAUAAAAAUUUUCAACAUCUCAGCCCUAUAUAAAGUAAGAUAACAUUAUGUAUUGAAAUAUACUAAUAUAAUAUAAGUAAACAACACGCACCUUGAGCUCUUGCUUGGCAAAUUCAUCUUAUGGUUUCUUAAGCCUUGAAAGCGCUUUAGAAUUUUUUCAUCUUCAAUCAACGCAAACAAAUCUCGCUCAAUAUACCACAUCAUGCUACUAUUCAACCAAUCAUCAUUCAUUUUAUUUCUUCAUUCAGUCUUGAUAAUAUUCAUAGUAGAGAAGGCUCUUUCAACUGUUGCUGUUGCCACCGGCAAAAUCAAUGCAUGUUCAAUGAGACAAUACACCAAAGGAAAAGCUAUAUCUCUUCUAGUCUGAACCAUCUUCUCAGCAAGGUUACCAAGAUCAAUACAAGUGUCAAAAUUAUCAUCAUUUCUGGCUUCAUCAAUGAAUAUACGAAGGUCACCCGCAAGCUUUAUGCAAUCAUAAUCACAGAAGUCAUCUUUAUAAAUCUUAGCAAGCUCAACUAACUUCUGUACUUCAAAGUUGGCAAAAGAAUCCCUCGGAUCAAGACAAGCAACACAUCUCAAGAGUUGAGUUGAUCUUUCUAGAAAUCGAUUGUUUAACUCACAAUAAACCUGAUCAAUCACAACAUUGAAAAUUCCAUGAUGAAAAUGAUGGUAGUAACUCACUAAUUUAGCACCACGACAUCUCGAACGACCUCUAACUGGUAUCAUAUCUUCCAUGUUAGGAAUUUCUAUGUUGUUGAGGAGGUAAAACUCCUUUACCUCUUCAAAAAGAGCAUCCCAACCAUUUUCCCUCAUUUCAUUCAUAUUUCUCAUCACAGAGCCAAUUAAUCCUAUUGCACGAACAAUAUUUUGAUUUUUCUUUUGCAAACAUUGUGACAAGUCUUGAGUCAUGCCCAGUACUCUGAUCAUAAGAUGUAAUAUGAACACAAAUUCAAAUGACUCCAUUCUUUGAAUCAAUCCAGAGGUUGUAGUUUCUUUUCCCCAUCAGUUCCAUCUUCACUAAUAUUCUCCAAUACCUCUAGUACAGAGGACCACAUGAUCAUAAGACGUGCUAAUAUUUUGUGAUGUGUACCCCACCGUGUAUCACCAGGGCUAGCAAGACUAGUUUCUUAGUUUUUCCCUCUCCUAGAAAAAAUAGCACUACUAUCUAACUGCUCAACAAGCUUAUCCUGAUGACUUUGAAGAAGUUGAUUUUUUCUCUUGCAAGAAGCACUAACAACAUUGACGAUUGAAGUGACAUAAUUGAAGAAAUCAAAAGUUGAGCCAACUUCAAAAGUUGAGCCACAACAUUUGGCUACAGAAACUAUCACAAGCUGCAAUUGAUGAGCAAAACAGUGGAUGUAAAAGGUAUAUGGGUUUUCGUUCAAUACCAGUCUUUGUAACCCAUGAAAUUGUAGAUAUCCUCUCCUUGCCUCAUCCCUAAUAUCAUGAUGAAAAUCAUCAAUUGGUUUCCUUUCUCCUAGAUCAGCAACUAUAGCUCUCAUAUCAAGUUCAAUCCGUGGUGUUUUUUGCUCAACCCGGGUCUCUACACUUUUGGCACUACUCUUUUUAGCAUAGUAUUUCUCCAUUCUAAGUUAUGAUUAUGAAAUGUUACAAUUGCAAACUAAGACUCAAAUACUUCCUGCUCAAAUUAAUGAAAUGAAAUAUUCAUUACUUUGCAUAGAAAUAGCAUAAAUAGACUAGCAGUCAUGAAUUUCUAUGUAAAAGGUAGCAGACUAGCAGUCAUGGAGCAAUUUCAAAAAAAAAUGGCAUACCGGAGUAAUUUCAGCAGGGAGCCGGCUGCCGGCGUGGCCUGGGGCCUAGGGGCGCCGGGCGUGGGCGCGCCGCGCGCGGCAGGCGGGGCGGCGGCCGGCGGGGGCCCAGGGGGUGAGUCGGCGACGGGCCGACGGCGACUCGGUGAGCACCGGGCGGCGCGCGGCCUGCCGGCGGGGGCGCAGGGCCUCGAGUGGAGGCGCGCGGGCGCUAGCUCGGGCUCCCUGCCGGCAGGGGCGCGGCGCGCGGCCGAAGCCCGACGGUGAGUUGGGGCCUGGGGAUGUGCCAACGCGGCGCCUGGGCAGCUGCCGGCGGGGGCUAGCUCCUUGCAGACGGGAGGCGGCUGAGUCGGGGGUGGGCGGACGGGUCACGGGAGCAGGCAGGCAGAGCUAGGGUGAUGGCCUAGGCCAAAUUUUCUUCGGGGUGGGCUAAUGGGCCAGAAAGCCUUUUUAUGCUAUUUUUAUGAAGGACUUUCCCACUGCUUGAGCCUCGCCCCGGGCUGCAGACCGGGCAGCCCGGGGCCCAGAUCCGCCUCUAUCUCAAGUUCUCAACCAAACCGCAAAUGAGCCUAGAUAAUGAAAAUUGAGCCUUAUAAUUUGCUAGAGAAUCAAUGAUACAUCAGGACAGAAUAAGUGACAUGGAGUAGGAUCGUUCAGGAUUUCACUCACUUGUAUGCUACCCUAACUACUUCUUGAUGCAAGCAUAACCGUGAAAUUUUUUCCAAAACUUCUAUAUUAGCCUGACAUCAGCAACCACAUUAAACUCUUCUCAUUGGAUAUUACCUUGUCUUGGAUCGUGCCUAUAUCUAAAACUGCAUCAAGCUCUGUGCUCAACAUGAGAUGCACGCACAAAGUUAAAAGUAAAACUAGUGUUGGAAACCUAAAAUUGACGUGGUUGCAGGAAUAAUCAAAGAAAUAAGGGACUAAAGCAAUCCCUGGUAAUAAUGUGCACAUCUGUAACUGAACUAAUCUAAUGGUACAUAUCAUUACCAUAAUUGCUUCAUGGUUUGAAGUUCCCUGCAAAGGAUAUGACUGCCAAACAGAGAAAAGGCAGAAGCAAAUUUCCACACUUUUGAGGAUGAAAAUUACUAGAAAUAGUAUUUGAUUUGUUGGCAGUGGGCACUAGCGCUAUGCAAAACCAGUACAAUUUGCCUGGACUCGCAGGGAAGCGGUAGAGAUGGCGGUUGGUGUUUGUCAGGUUGUGCUGGUUCUCAGGCGAAAGCCAUGCUCGGUCUUUGACGGUUGCCGACAACGAUGGUGCCAUGGUGCAUUUCCUUCUUGAAGGCGUUGUCGUGGGAACCUCAAGCUUCGAUGACAUUUCCAGGUCAAAACUAAAGAACUAAUGGUUCGGGUGGCAGCAACAUCUUGACGUCGCUUAUCUCUUGGGGCGUCGCUUUGGAGUCUUGGGGAUGGCGGCACCAGGGUCAGUUUGGUGGGAUGGUGGUUCCCAAGUUGGUCCAAGUGUGAUUGGUGGAGUUCGUGCUAGAGAUCGACUCGGUGCGGUAUCUAUGAGACAGGAGAUCACCAAGUAGCGCCUGUCCAUUAGAUAGGACGAUCUCUACAUCGAAAAGUUUAUAAGAGGAUAGAAGAUGUAAGGAGUUUGUCACUGCACUGGACCAUUGCAAGGUUGAAGGAACGACUUAAAAGAAGUUUAAAGCUUAGCCUUUGUAGCUUUCAUUCUUAGUCUCUUUCUUUCUUGCUUUUUGAGUUCCUCAAUGUGAUGCUUCGAGUCUAAGUACUCGUGUUCUCUAUGGUCGUAGAUAUUCACUUGCGAAUGUUCCAAACCAGAUAUUUUCCUUAAUCUAAAAAAGGCACUAGUUCCUUUGUGUAUCGUUGCCAUUGACAUUAUCAUCGCUGAGAAAGGUUCAUGUCCUCAGUGUGCCUGCUAAUGGGUUGAAACCCGCCCCAACCCCUGCCCCAACCCGCAAUAAAUUAACUCAUUCACCCACCCUGUCCCACCCCAUAUACUUAAUUUAUCUACCCACCCCGUCCCGUCCCACCAGCAAUGGGUUGCCAUGGGUUACCAUAUACUUAAUGAUCAGAUCUGUCAGAAUGCCUAAUCAUUCUUACACAUACGAUGGGACUAAAAUGGCACAGUUUUACAAUCCAUGGUAUUACCGAACACCCACCUAUGCACGGAAAUCCAAAGUUCCUCCUCUAAUGGCAUUGAAACACAUUACAACAGGGUCUUCAGUGUCCUUCAAUCUUGACGCCAACCUCCAAAUUUGUGGGUCAUUACUUUUUGAAUGUCAGCAGGUGGUUCAGAAAGUGAUUCGCCGAACAUUGAAACUGGCCCAUGAUUUGCAAUUGAUUCUCUGCAGGUGGUUCAGAACUAAUUCCUGCAAAAUGUGAGCAACCAAGAUUAAUGUAUCAUCUACUAAAGAAGCACAACAGAAACCAUUUAUCUGUAGUGAAAUGAAGUGGCAUGUCGAAUUGACUAACAAGGGUCUCUAGACGAGAUCUGAAUGUCCACCUGUUCAAUGGGUUAUACUUUUAGAACUAAAAUUACUGGAAGCUGAAAGUCAAAGUCGUCCUCAACAGUUCUUAUUAUGCACUAUAGCUAUUUAUAUUGACCGACAAGCAUUCACUUAUUUAUGCUGGAAGCACAAAGUCUGGAGGAAAAGGAUUCAACCUUCAAUUUGCGAUGCAGCACAUCCCCUUCACUGGCAGUUUAAUAACAGACUGCUAAAUAAGCAAAAGUGAACCUGAAAACUUAAAGAAAAAAGGCAUACCGGAAACAUCAAUACAUGUAUAUGCAGUAACAUCAGUACAUGUAUAUGCUCAAAUCUCACCUACACAAUUGUCAACUACAUGUGCCAAUAGGAACAAAACGCCCAAUUUAUAGAAUAUGCAUAUUAGUUGGGUACCUUUAGGAGCCAUUUGAAUAUCUCAGAACUCUCUAACCUCCUCCUGGACUACAGACAAAUAAAGAUCAUCAUGUCAGGUUAUACUAUAGAAUAGGAAAAGACUGGAAGACAUCAGGUUAUACUAAGGAAACCUCAGUUAGUAAAAAUUACCUUCAUUGGUGGGAUACUUGUACAACCAAUCUUUGCAACAGACCAAAGCUUCAAGAGUUUCUGGCGUCAUUGAGCUUCGAUUGUCACUAAGAAUCCGACCACUGAAGCUGAAUGCUGAUUCAGAAGAAACGGUACUGAGUGGAAUUGCUAAGAAAUCACGUGCCAUCGCUGACAGCACAGGGUACUUGUUGGAGUUUGUCUUCCACCAGGUCAGAAUUUAAAAUUUUUCAUCUGUUCUCAUUGGUGGUUCAUCUAGAUAUGCAUCAAGUUCUGAUUUUUCAAUCCAAGUCCCUCUCCUCUGAUGCCUAUAUUCAGCAAAUUCUUGUUCUAGUCUUUUUUUCCAAGAACUAACACUGGAGAACGGUUCACCAUGCUUCUGGAUGCACCAGUUUGUGAUACUACAUUUGUAUCAUUUUGUCUAAUAAUCUCUUCAUGCUUCAUGAAAUACUUGCGAAGCCACUCUUUAGCCAAAUUUUUGCUCACGUCAAUGUUAAUAAAGUUCCUGCACACCUUCUCAUAAAAGAAGUCCAAGAAGUCAACUUUUAUUCUUGGAUCAAGUAUGCUGCAAAUAAUAAGGACCAUAUUGUAAUUUCCAUUCAAGUACUUAUCAAAUCUCCUCUCCAUUGCUUUUGCCAAAUCUGGGAUAACCUGAUCCUUGUACCAUUCUGGACUAUUUAGAGUUUGAUGGAUACAAAGUACAUUAUCCAGGAACAUGUGGGAAGUAGCAUAUCUAUCAGCUGAGAACACCCUGGUAGUUUCUUCAAAAACUCCAAGGAACUCACCAAUGUACUCAACUUUGCUAAACUCAUCUUCAGUUGAAAAUGGUUGCUGAUUUGCUUUGGCAUAUCUUUACUGCCUCCAUAAUCAUAGCAUGGGUUGAGUUCUAACGGUUGGGAACAUCAAGAACUAAACCAACCUUUGUAGCAAGACAUUCUCUUUGAGCUAUCUCAUUGAAAUCCUGGAUACGCGAUGGUGAUGAGUUAAUGUGCUUAAUCAGGUCUCUUAUCAACUCUAUCUAACAAUGUUCAUACCAUCUUGGACAAGAAUGUUGCAUAUAUGAGCACAACAUCUAUCAAGAAGAUGCUCACCACCAAAUAACAUGUUAGGCUUUCCGCUUUCUUGCAGAAGAUCACAAGCUACCUUGUUAUUUGCUACAUUAUCGAGUGUGAUCAUAAACAUCUUCUCUUUGAUUCCAUAAUCUGUCAGAACAGUUGUAAUGGCUUCCUCAAUAGCUAUACCCGUAUGUGGAUACUUCACAUCCUUAAAUGCAAUUAUCUUUUUCUUCAAAACAAAAUCAGGACCAACAUAGUGGGCUGUCACACAAAUAUAUCCCAACUUUUGGUUUGAUGUCCAAAGAUCAGAUGUGAAGCAUAUGCGAGAGUUAAGAUUCUGAAGUUCACUUCGUAAUUCUAUCUUUGCUUUUUCAAACUUAGCAACACAUUCAUUACGAAUCAUUUGUUGCCCUAUGCAUCUAAAUGCAGGUUGCAAUGACUCCAUCCAAGGCUCAAAGCCUUCAUCAUCAGACUUAUUGAAUGCUACAUCAGCUCUAACACACCAUGCAAUAAUCAAGUCAUGACUUCUCUGCUAAUUAAAGUUGAACGAACCAUCUAUAGGCUUUUUCUUCAUUGUAGCAACAAAUUUGUUCGUAUCAUCACUAGGGACUAUGGGGCAAUGCUCUGCAAUGUGAGUUCGAAAGCUGUUUGUACCUUAUUUCCUGUUUGCAGUUAACUUUGUUCAGUAGUACUUGCAAAUUGCUUUUAGGACACCAUCUAUCUCGACCAAUUCCGGCUCCGGUUGCCUGGAGACGCGAGGCGGCAUCCAAUUUCACAAGCGGCGGAGGACUUUCGUUGACGAGCUGAAUCGAGCCUGGAUUGAAUAGGAGGUAAAGAAGUUGAGAUUCAAGUACGGAAGAACGCAAUCCAGUGCCUGAGGAACUCGUUUGUGCUACUUGAGGUUCGCCACUACCGAGAUUGCCGCUCGAUUCGGUGCCGGCCUCAUAUGGGUGCUGAUUUUUGUUGCCAAUAUUCAGUUUGCAAGGAUUUUCACAAGUUGCCGCUGGCAGGCCAGUUACUGGGCAACGAGCUGCAGCAAGCGAGCAGCCUUGCUUGCGCAGGAGAGCCGAUUCAGGUCGUCUGCGCUGGCAAGGAAAACCUUGCUGGCCCGAGCAAGCUUGCUCAGCAAAGCAAGUUUUUUCUGCAGUACCAAACAGCAAACCUUGCUGGGCAAGGUGAGGCAAGGCAAAACAAGAGUUUCAAACGUGCCCUCAGCCUCUCUGGAAUGUUUGGCCAAAUUAUGGGUAAUUCAAUUUCGAUGGGAAAUUUUUUUUAAUGCCGAACUUUACGGUGGUGAAAAACUUUGAAAAAUUUUUAUUGGUCAAUUGACCGUUCUUAUCCAUUACCGUCCUAUAGACUCGUAGUACAUUCGGUCGCACACAGACCGACUCCGACUCGGUCCGGCUCGUCCACCUGGCUCCGGCUGGCGCGUCCGUGCGUGAGGGCCACGCGACGCAACCCAACCGACUCGCCCCAAGCCCUAGCGCCGCCUCCCCCUCCCCUCCUCCCACUAAAUCAAUCCAAUCCCCUCGAGCUUUCCAUUCCCCGCAUCCCGAUCUCUCGAUCCCUACGCCACCAGAGCUCCGCGCGCGCUUCGCGAUCUCUCGAUCGAUCCGGCUCCCCCGAUCCCCCUCGAAUCCCCUGCUCGUCGAUCUCGCCCCCCUUCCACACCCGCCCUGCGAUGGCGCCGCCGCCGCCGGUAACGGAGGAGGAGGACGACGAAGUGGAGGAGCGGCCGUGGCCGCCGCGGAUGAAGAUGAAGCUGGCUCCCUACGCGAUGUACUGCGUCUUCUCCGGCGCGGGGCCCCGGGGGCAUAUGCUCGGCUGCGCCUACGCCGGGCUCCACUGCGCGCUCCAGUUCGCCAGGUUCCUCUCCCUCUCGCCGGUCGCCGAGGUCGCCGCCCUAUGGGGCCCCGUCCUCCGCGUCCUCCAGUGCCUGUGCUACACCGCCACCGCGCUCAUCAUGUGGGUCUUCAUCCGACACCACAUGAACGUCGACGGGGUCUACGUCGUCGAGUUCGAUCCACCGCCGCAGCUGGCGGCGCCGGCAAGGACGACCGUGGUGGAGCAGCUCCCGCCUCCUCCGCCGGAGAUGGACAUGUGCUAGGUUCGGUUUGGCCCCGUGAGGUAUGUGUUUCCUAACCCGAUUGCAGGUGUUGCUUUCCUUGCUCAAGGUACGUGCACUGCCAUCCCCUUGCCCUUUUCUUUGAUUCAGCAUUUGUUACCGCACAAACGUCUUGGAUCGUCAUACAUACAUUGCUUAAUUGUGCAGCUGCUAGUGUUAGCUUUUCAUGUGCACUAGUUUUUCUGUAACAGAGAUCUGAAAUAUUGCGUUUCAAACAGGAAAACCAUGGGUUUUAUCUAGGUUCCAUCUAGAAUCUGUGUUGCAGAUUGCAAUUAGAUUGGUUGGCACACAUUUCUUUGGUUCAAAAUUGUUGCUGCACACGUCUUGGAUUGUCUUAUUGCUUAAUUGUGCACAUGUGCAUCGGUAUUUCUGUAACUGAGAUCUGAAAUAUUGCGUUUCAAUGGAAGAGAUCUGGAUUUUAGGUUCCAUAUAGUUACCAUCAAAGAUGGCAGUUAGAUGGUUUGGCACAGAUUUCUUUGCUUAUGCGAUUGGAUCUAAUCUGUUUCCAUUUAGUUAGUACCUCAGUAAGUACGACGUGAAAGGUGAAACAUGAUCAAUGUGCUGUUUUGGGCUGUAUUCUGUUUUUAAUUCUUACAAGCUUUUGUCAAAAGAUGCUGAAUUACUGCAAUCAAAACCUGUUGGCACAAUGCUGAAAUCAUUUUGAGUUUUCAAAAGAAAUUGUUUUAACAAAAUGUUUAAUAUCCUGGCCACUAAACUAUUAGUUCAUCUAUUGAUAAAGUAACAUCUUGGAUCGAUCCUUUGGUGGCCAUGAGUGUGGUGUGAUGCCAUGGAAAGUUAAAACCAUGUUAUAUUUUUACUGUUACACAGUUUUCUUUGACAAAUAGCAGUUAUGAUUGUUAUCUUUUUUUGUGAAAUACAUUCUUGUCAUAAUUGAUUGCACGUGCAUGAAAUAGAAGUUAUGAUUAUCAUCUUUUGCUAGCCAUUGCUUUCCUAACCCAUACUUGAAGUUUAUGCUCACUGCAGAUUGUCUCCUUUGUUCCAGGUAUGUGCACUUCCCUUUUCUGCUUGAGUUACGAUUUUGUUCUGUUAUCAACUGCACAGAUACGAAUAUUAGAAUUUUCAUACGCAAUACAUCUUCUGUAAUUGAUUGGACUACAAACAGAUAUAGGGUUGAACUCUACCGGUCGAUGGACUCAGCAUGUCAAUUAUACUAGUUGGGAUAUGUUACUAAAAAUGAAAACUGAACUAUAGUGUAUCGGUCCAAAUAUUUUAUAUCCUGUAGAGUAACUAGAGAUUUUCAAAUCUGAAAUGGCAAUUAGAUGGUUUUGGCGGAACUGCCUCUGCCUCUGGUAGAUUGAAUGAAGUAUCGUUCCAUUCAGUCUAGUUUCCGGGUAGCUGUGGAACACACUUUUGUGAAUUGCAGGUGCAGACUAGUAUAUCUCCCAAAUUUUUGUUAACAGAUGCCGAUUUACUGUUGGGGAUCGGUACUUUGGUUCUGGGUCACUUCGCUUACUGUCUUCGUAGGUUGAAGUUUUUGUUACGAAGACAUGCUUGCGUUGUUUCUUAUUUGUGCAUGAUCUUCUCCAUUGCAGUGCAACAGAGGUGAUGAUCUGGCUUCGCCAGCUGAAGCGAGUGCAGUACGAAGUCGCGAAGCCAAGCCUGGAACGCAUUGACUGAUGACGUACUGCUUGAUUCAGACGUCAACGGAGUGAAGCUGGUGCGAGUGCUAUACGAAGUCGCGAAGCCAAGCCUGGAACAUAUUGAGUGAUGGUGUACUGCUCAAUUCAGACACCAAUGAAAAGCCGGCGUGAGUGCAACAGAGGUGACGAUCCAGCAUCGCCAGCUGAAGCGAAGACGUGAAGCCAAGCCUGGAACGUUUUGAGUGAUGAUGUACUGCUCGAUUCAGACUCCAACGAAGUCAAGCUGGCACGAGGAUGUCGAGGUCUGUCUUUUAAAAGUUGAUAAUGGCUAAGCAAACUGGUGAACGAAUUGGAUGAUGGAAGGACUCUUGUGGGCCGCAAACAAAGAGGGAGUCUCAUGCGAAUAUGUAAUCAUGCGAGGAGCUGUGGAGUAACUGAGUUAUUCAGACAAGGAAUGGAAAUGAGAUGGUUUGGUGGAAUUAUCUUUGCCUCAAGUAGUUGAAUCAAAAUUUGAAUCAAGUCUUGUUUCAUUUAGUCUAGUAUCUAGUUCCAUGUUAACUAUGGAACAUACAUUUGUGAACUGCAUGUGCAGAAUGUAUUCAUUUUCACAAAUUUUGUUUACUGAUGCCGAGUUACUACAAUUUACGAAAAAUUACAAUUCUGUAAAGAUCCCAUGGCUUGUGCUUCUCGUAUCUCACCUCCUCUCUGUUGCUUUCUCAGGUGCCUUUAUAUAUGCAGGGGUCCAUGACUCUGUAGAUGGCACCAAUGGCAAGUGUUCUCAGCCGAGAGCUGGGAUCCACAUUUUGGCCCUUUUUUAUGAAAAUUUUGUGCUUACAAGUGAGGCCUCACCUACUUGGCUAGGAUUAGAGACUUUGUAAGGAGUUUGUUGCUGCACUGGACUAUAGCAAGGUUGAAGGAACGACUUAAAAGAAGUUUGAAGUUUAGCCUUUGUAGCUUUCAUUCUUAGUCUCUUUCUUGCCUUUUGUGUUCCUCAAUGUGGAACUUCGAGUCUAAGUACUCGUGUAUCUUCUGACCUUGUGGUCAGUUUUAUUUCUCUGUUGUUGUAGACAUUCACUUGCGAAUGUUCAAGACCGAAUAUUUUCCUUAAUCUAAAAAAGCACCAGUUCCUUUGUGGAUCA
rnacentral:lncRNA from 1 species